GUGUGUCUAUAUACAUCUGUAUGUAGUCUUUUAGUGAAACCUUUAAAAAGACUUAUAUUUAGAAACGGAGGAAGUAAUUUACAAGUGGAUGUUAUUUCAUCAUAUUCAUCUUUCAAAUGGUGUUGAACGUGCUUUAAGUUCCAGGCUUGUUUGAUUUAUUUUACUGUCGUACAUACAACAAGAGUCAACACAUUUAGUGUUUGGUUGAGUAAUGGUAGUACUUAUUACUUUGCAAUGAAAUGUUGCUCUGGCUGAUAAUCUUGUGCCUGGCCGCAGGGAGGAAAUGAGGCAGAGCAACUCUGAGAGAAACAGAGAGUAACUGGUAUUCGUAAGUGGUUUAUAUCUAUUACGAAUGCUUGGUACAAAGUACUUCGCAGAGAAUUAAGUAACAUUGUUCUCACCUGAGGUGGGAUGUUCAGAGGCUUGUUUGUAAACUGUAAUGCACUGGUUACAGAUUCACAAUCAUGAAACAGUUUCUACGGUUACGAGCUUCUCAGCAUCAGGGCCGUACGUGGUGGUGAUGAACAUUCAGAUCAAACAAUUCAUGUUUCAGUUGCUGGGCUUGCAAAGUCCAACCCCACAUCUAUCCCAUGGUGAGUAGCGUGAGCGACGGAAUCCCCUUUGGCACCCCUGUGGGGUGAUGGCAGUUUAUCGAAGGUUAAGAUGGGAGUGUUGUGGCAUGCGGCGGGGGAAAACUCAUCAACUAUGCUGGCCCUCUUCGUGCGGAGAUUAUGGCGACACUACAAGGAGCUAGAUUGGCUGGGGAGAAAAGGAUACUGAAUGUCUAAUUUUCAGACUGAUCCUUUCACUUCUGGGACCUCUCCACUGUUUGUUUUGUUAUAUUGCAGAAAUGCAGAGCAAAAGUCUUUUCUAAUAUCAAAACUUUGAUAGCUGUAGCUUCUCCUUUGCAAACAGGGGCUGUAAUAAAGUUGUGCAUGCUUUGGACUUCUCUUACCGUGGGUGUAGUCUGAACUGGGCUGAAUGAUUUACAUGGCGGAUGAUGUAA